rnacentral:rRNA from 1 species
CUUGAACGCUGGCGGCAGGCCUAACACAUGCAAGUCGCACGAGUGGCUGACGGGUGAGUAAUGUCUGGGAACCUGCCUGAUGGCGGGGGAUAACUACUGGAAACGGUCGCUAAUACCGCAUCCCAUCGGAUGUGCCAAGAGGGGAUUUGCUCGGAGGUGGGGUAACGGCUCACCUAGCCGACGAUCCCUCGCUGGUCUGAGAGGAUGACCAGCCACACUGGAACUGAUACACGGUCCAGACUCCUACGGGAGGCAGCAGUGGUGAAUAUUGCACAAGGGGCUCAAGCCUGAUGCAGCCAAGCCGCGUGUAGGAAGAAGGCCUUCGGGUUGUAAAGUACUGUCAGCGGGGAGGCGUUACCCGCAGAAGAAGCACCGACUAACUCCGUGCCAGCAGCCGCGGUAAUUC